rnacentral:rRNA from 1 species
GAUGAACGCUAGCGGCAGGCCUAACACAUGCAAGUCGAGGGGUAGUUGUCUUCGGACAAUGAGACCGGCGCACGGAUGCGUAACGCGUAUGCAAUCUACCUUAUACUAAGGGAUAGCCCAGAGAAAUUUGGAUUAAUACCUUAUAGUUAAUAGAGUUGGCAUCGACUUUAUUAUAAAGAUUAAUUGGUAUAAGAUGAGCAUGCGUCCCAUUAGUUAGUUGGUAAGGUAACGGCUUACCAAGACGAUGAUGGGUAGGGGUCCUGAGAGGGAGAUCCCCCACACUGGUACUGAGACACGGACCAGACUCCUGCGGGAGGCAGCAGUGAGGAAUAUUGGUCAAUGGGCGCAAGCCUGAACCAGCCAUGCCGCGUGCAGGAUGAAGCAUCUAUGGUGUGUAAACUGCUUUUGUACGGGAAGAAAAAAAGCUACGUGUAGCUUACUGACGGUACCGUAAGAAUAAGGAUCGGCUAACUCCGUGCCAGCAGCCGCGGUAA